UUGCAUUCACCAUGUCUUCGUGGAAUCGAAAACAUCUGUUUUUUUUAUUAUUAUUAUUGUUACUAUCAUUUUGACAAUUAAAGUGACAUUUCAUUUUGUGAACGAUUCGCAGUAAGUAAGUUGGAGCCAGACAGACUUCUCUCUUUUAAAGAUUUCAACCUCUAUUUCGUUGCUGCAUUUCCUACAAUUCGUGCAUUAAUUACAUCUGUGUUUAUAAUUUCGUCAAUGCAUGAAUCAACUAGUGACAAAUUAUGCGUUAAUGAUAUCUUUUGUAGACUCGCUGUCAACUGGCUACAACUGCGUCGACCUCGGACGGUUCUCUCAUCGGAAUACUUGGACCCUGCGACGAAAUCUUCUAAUUGCUACUUUAGGAGGAAACUAGCAACCAUUGAUGAGCGAUCGUGUCUCGCACACUCAUGUGUGGCGCGCAUACCUACGCAUGUACACGAACAGCUGCAGGUGGAGUCCAGACGACCACGUUCUCCUUAGGUACCAUCUUCAUUCUCUUGCUUGCACAUAUACUUAUCUGUCUUUAAAAACCACCACUGCCUUUCAAAUUCAUCUAGAGCCUAAGCUACAACUCACCAGCAGUAUUGCCGACACGCCUCUUCUCUUUGGUAUUAUGAGGCACAACUCAAUCUUCAAAUCCCUAGACAGGGAUCGCGGAUAUGAUUUUCACCCGCCCACAGGUAUGUCUUCUGUUCCAAUGGUUCAGUACCUAGUAAUCGCCGAUUUUGUGACUCCCCAUGGCGAGGGUCUCGUCCUGUCAUCACAGCUCAGUGGGAGUUUCAGAGCUGCCACCGAUGUCAACACCUCCUGUAGUUCCCUAAAUCAUUCUCUCAGUUUCUCUUCGCACGUUGCAGAGGAAUAAAAGGUGUUAUUUAAGUUGCUGAUCCGCUGAUGUUAAGGCCGAGGACGUCCCCCAGACAGGGCAAAGGAAAGGACAGUACUAAAACCCAUCAGGCAUUGAACGUGAUUAGUACCCUCUCGAAGCUGGUGACUGUGAUCUUAUCGCUGCUGCCGUGUGGCAUGCACUGGCAACAUCGGUCCUCUUGCAGGCAACACACAUUCAAUA
rnacentral:lncRNA from 1 species